rnacentral:rRNA from 1 species
GUCCACGCCCUAAACGAUGUCAACUAGCCGUUGGGUUCAUUUAAGGACUUAGUGGCGCAGCUAACGCGUUAAGUUGACCGCCUGGGGAGUACGGCCGCAAGGUUAAAACUCAAAGGAAUUGACGGGGGCCCGCACAAGCGGUGGAGCAUGUGGUUUAAUUCGAUGCAACGCGAAGAACCUUACCAGGCCUUGACAUCCUCGGAACUUUCUAGAGAUAGAUUGGUGCCUUCGGGAACCGAGUGA